AUUGAACGCUGGCGGCAGGCCUAACACAUGCAAGUCGAACGGUAACAGGAAGAAGCUUGCUUCUUUGCUGACGAGUGGCGGACGGGUGAGUAAUGUCUGGGAAACUGCCUGAUGGAGGGGGAUAACUACUGGAAACGGUAGCUAAUACCGCAUAACGUCGCAAGACCAAAGAGGGGGACCUUCGGGCCUCUUGCCAUCGGAUGUGCCCAGAUGGGAUUAGCUAGUAGGUGGGGUAACGGCUCACCUAGGCGACGAUCCCUAGCUGGUCUGAGAGGAUGACCAGCCACACUGGAACUGAGACACGGUCCAGACUCCUACGGGAGGCAGCAGUGGGGAAUAUUGGGCAAUGGGCGCAAGCCUGACCCAGCAACGCCGCGUGAAGGAAGAAGACUUUC
rnacentral:rRNA from 1 species